GCAGCACGGGAGCUUGCUCCUGGUGGCGAGUGGCGAACGGGUGAGUAAUACAUCGGAACGUACCCUGAAGUGGGGGAUAACGUACCGAAAGUUACGCUAAUACCGCAUAUUCUGUGAGCAGGAAAGAGGGGGAUCGAAAGACCUCUUGCUUUAGGAGCGGCCGAUGUCGGAUUAGCUAGUUGGUGAGGUAAAGGCUCACCAAGGCGACGAUCCGUAGCGGGUCUGAGAGGAUGAUCCCCCACCCUGGGACUGAGACACGGCCCAUACUCCUACGGGCGGCAGCCGUGGGGAAUUUUGGACAAUGGGCCAAGCCCGAUCCAUC
rnacentral:rRNA from 1 species